rnacentral:rRNA from 1 species
UACGUAGGGUGCAAGCGUUGUCCGGAAUUAUUGGGCGUAAAGAGCUCGUAGGCGGUUUGUCGCGUCUGCUGUGAAAACUCGGGGCUUAACCCCGGGCCUGCAGUGGGUACGGGCAGACUAGGGUGCGGUAGGGGAGACUGGAAUUCCUGGUGUAGCGGUGAAAUGCGCAGAUAUCAGGAAGAACACCCGUGGCUAAGGCGGCUCUCUAGUACGGUACUGACGCUGAGACGCGAAAGCGUGGGGAGCGAACAGG